UAGAAUGCUCUUUACUUCCGCCGUUGGAUCCAAUGUGGGCGUUGGAAGAGAUGAGUUCGAUCAGAUCGUUCGUUUCCAGAGAAGAAGCGGGUUAUCGGUGGCAAGGAUUUGUGUUCAUCGUCGUCAGCUUCGUUUUCCUUCUGCUAUUUCUCUAUGCCGCGAUCAUUUCUAAGCUUCUUUCGCCUUCGGACAAUGCCUUCUUAUCUGCUAUUCAGAACGACUGGUAUUACUGUCUCCUGGUGCCCUUGACAUUACCUAUCCUCUAUGCUGCCGUUUAUUUCCAUUGGCUCAGCAUGAAACUAUUCAAGCAUGCUUGAAAGUGGUCAGCUAAUGAACUAUCCAACCAAGUUGAGUGUCUCAGUUUGAUUAAAUUACAAUGUGAUGUGUUCCGAGCUUCCGUAGCCGAGAUGAUCGAGGAUGUACUUGUAUUCUACCGGAGGCUGUAUAUCGUGCAAGAGAAUUCGAUAUCGGCGGGUCUUAUCAUAGUAAAAUCUGUUCAUUUUGGUUGAAUGAUGAGAACAUGAGAUAUUCAAACUAAGCUGAAAGGCCAAAGAGUGGUUUAAACUCACAUUGAAUGACUUGGUGAAUGCAUCUAAGCACAAGCUUUAUGACCUAAGGUGAGCAUCUCCAAAGACAAUCUAGGGAAGACCAACUUGGGUUGUGGUUGGCGAGGAGAUACUUGAUUCUUGAAAAUUGCUUCAUUGUUGGACAUGCCACUUUUGGUAAUGCUUUGAUAUAUACCAAAAUUUGUCCAUUUUGUUAUCAAAGGUGCU